AACGAACGCUGGCGGCGGGCUUAACACAUGCAAGUCGAACGCCCCGCAAGGGGAGUGGCAGACGGGCGAGUAACGCGUGGGAAUCUACCUAGUUCUACGGAACAACUGAGGGAAACUUCAGCUAAUACCGUAUACGCCCUACGGGGGAAAGAUUUAUCGGAAUUAGAUGAGCCCGCGUUGGAUUAGCUAGUUGGUGAGGUAAUGGCUCACCAAGGCGACGAUCCAUAGCUGGUCUGAGAGGAUGAUCAGCCACACUGGGACUGAGACACGGCCCAGACUCCUACGGGAGGCAGCAGUGGGGAAUAUUGGACAAUGGGCGCAAGCCUGAUCCAGCCAUGCCGCGUGAGUGAUGAAGGCCUUAGGGUUGUAAAGCUCUUUCAGUAGGGAAGAUAAUGACGGUACCUACAGAAGAAGCCCCGGCUAACUUCGUGCCAGCCGCCGCAGUAA
rnacentral:rRNA from 1 species